rnacentral:rRNA from 1 species
UACGUAGGGUGCGAGCGUUGUCCGGAAUUAUUGGGCGUAAAGGGCUCGUAGGCGGUUUGUCACGUCGGGAGUGAAAACUCGGAGCUUAACUCCGAGCCUGCUUCCGAUACGGGCUGACUAGAGGUAUGCAGGGGAGAACGGAAUUCCUGGUGUAGCGGUGAAAUGCGCAGAUAUCAGGAGGAACACCGGUGGCGAAGGCGGUUCUCUGGGCAUUACCUGACGCUGAGGAGCGAAAGUGUGGGGAGCGAACAGG